rnacentral:rRNA from 1 species
GACGAACGCUGGCGGCGUGCCUAAUACAUGCAAGUCGAGCGAACGGACGAGAAGCUUGCUUCUCUGAUGUUAGCGGCGGACGGGUGAGUAACACGUGGAUAACCUACCUAUAAGACUGGGAUAACUUCGGGAAACCGGAGCUAAUACCGGAUGAUAUUUUGAACCGCAUGGUUCAAAAGUGAAAGACGGUCUUGCUGUCACUUAUAGAUGGAUCCGCGCUGCAUUAGCUAGUUGGUAAGGUAACGGCUUACCAAGGCAACGAUGCAUAGCCGACCUGAGAGGGUGAUCGGCCACACUGGAACUGAGACACGGUCCAGACUCCUACGGGAGGCAGCAGUAGGGAAUCUUCCGCAAUGGGCGAAAGCCUGACGGAGCAACGCCGCGUGAGUGAUGAAGGUCUUCGGAUCGUAAAACUCUGUUAUUAGGGAAGAACAUAUGUGUAAGUAACUGUGCACAUCUUGACGGUACCUAAUCAGAAAGCCACGGCUAACUACGUGCCAGCAGCCGCGGUAAUACGUAGGUGGCAAGCGUUAUCCGGAAUUAUUGGGCGUAAAGCGCGCGUAGGCGGUUUUUUAAGUCUGAUGUGAAAGCCCACGGCUCAACCGUGGAGGGUCAUUGGAAACUGGAAAACUUGAGUGCAGAAGAGGAAAGUGGAAUUCCAUGUGUAGCGGUGAAAUGCGCAGAGAUAUGGAGGAACACCAGUGGCGAAGGCGACUUUCUGGUCUGUAACUGACGCUGAUGUGCGAAAGCGUGGGGAUCAAACAGGAUUAGAUACCCUGGUAGUCCACGCCGUAAACGAUGAGUGCUAAGUGUUAGGGGGUUUCCGCCCCUUAGUGCUGCAGCUAACGCAUUAAGCACUCCGCCUGGGGAGUACGACCGCAAGGUUGAAACUCAAAGGAAUUGACGGGGACCCGCACAAGCGGUGGAGCAUGUGGUUUAAUUCGAAGCAACGCGAAGAACCUUACCAAAUCUUGACAUCCUUUGACAACUCUAGAGAUAGAGCCUUCCCCUUCGGGGGACAAAGUGACAGGUGGUGCAUGGUUGUCGUCAGCUCGUGUCGUGAGAUGUUGGGUUAAGUCCCGCAACGAGCGCAACCCUUAAGCUUAGUUGCCAUCAUUAAGUUGGGCACUCUAAGUUGACUGCCGGUGACAAACCGGAGGAAGGUGGGGAUGACGUCAAAUCAUCAUGCCCCUUAUGAUUUGGGCUACACACGUGCUACAAUGGACAAUACAAAGGGCAGCGAAACCGCGAGGUCAAGCAAAUCCCAUAAAGUUGUUCUCAGUUCGGAUUGUAGUCUGCAACUCGACUACAUGAAGCUGGAAUCGCUAGUAAUCGUAGAUCAGCAUGCUACGGUGAAUACGUUCCCGGGUCU